UGUUGACUUUCUCCAGCCCUGCCAGGAGCUGGCGACCCCGAACUGAUGCAGCAUCUGGACAAGAGGACACCAGAUUAAAGCUGGUUGGAGCUGGGUGUGGGCUCAGUCCCACUGGAUCUCCUGCAACUCAGCACCUGCUCUCUGGGCUCCAAGUCACUGCCCCCGGGGAUGUGGUACCUUGUGGAAGUCCUCCAUGAACUUCAGGUGGCUCUCCUCGCAGAUCAGCAGGUUCAGGGUGGUUCUGGGCCAGCAGCUGAUCCCCAUCAGCGUGCAGCUUGUUGAUGGCCUCCUCCUUCUCCUCCAGCUUCCGAUGGAUGAAGUUCUGGAUGGAGAGAGAUGUUGCUAAAGAUGUGACUGGGAUAAAGGACAGGAGGGUGAGGGAGCCGUCCCUGUUGCGUUAUCUUUGGCAGAGCCUUCCCCACCCCACAGAAAGCAGGGCAGAAGUCGGGUGCAGUCAGUGCUUUGGAGCGGGUGACCGAAAUGUGCCGCACGUGUUUGGGUCUCUUUGGGUGAUGGUUGCUCAGAGCUGGCACCUCCCGCAUCCUGGCAGAGCUUGUGGCCACCGAGGAGCCUCCCUCACCUCCCACCCAUGCCCUGGAGGCCACCUGAGCUUGGAGGGUGAGAGGUUCAUCAUCCAGAGGGGAGCUGGGUUUGCUCACUGUGGGGCUGGGAGCUGGGCUGGCACUGAGCUGGGCACAGCUGGAAGCUCCUGCUGGCUCCUGUCCCUGGGCCCUGCCUUGGUCUCAGUGACUCCAGCACGUCCAGUGACUCCUGAAGUCCAAACUUUAGGGUUUCAGCAUGGAUGGGAACACCAUCCUAAAACCCAGCAGAAGUCUGAGCUUUUUCUAGUUCUAGUUUUGACUGAAACCUCUGAAUUGUAGGGAGGAAAUAAACCUAAGGCAGGGAUUUUUUGGAUGCAUGGCUGUGGUUGAGGCUGCUGACCUGGAGAGCUGAGCUGGAGCCUCAGCCCAGCCUUUUGCUCACUUUGCAUCAGCAAAACUGAUCUCAGGUUCUGGAAGCAGCGAGGGCAGCACCCAGCCCUGACCCUCCCUCACUGCCCGGCCACUUUGGGUGGGGGUGAGCCCCUGGUCCCCUUCCCUCCGCUCCUCUCUCAGGCUGGAGCCACAAGUCUCCUCAUCCCUGUCAUCACCUGUGCCCUGCCAGCCCCUUCCCAAGCUGGGGGUGCUGCCCCUGGAGCCCCCUCCUGCCCUCAAUGACUCUGAGAACCCAGGGCUGGGGCAGAGUCACCCUCCAGCCCCUGGCACCUGGGGACAGUGACAUCCCUUCUCCACCACUGGAGCAGGCGAGGGGCUGGGGGAGGGCAGGGAAGGGCCAUUCCCCGUGUUGGAGAUGGUUUCCUGGUGAUGCAGAGGCUGCAGUGUCUGGGUGACCAGGGCACAGAGAUUCAGCCUUGCCCAGAGCAGGCAAGGGCGUGCAGGAGGUGUCGUGGGCAUGGCUGGGCUCUCCUGACACACCUGAAAACCUCUGUGGUUCAACUGAGAGUCACCAGCUGAGGCUGUGGGACAGGGAACUCUCACAAAAGCUCCCAUGGGAGCUGCACCUCAAACUGCAGUGCUGGGGAGCUGCUCCUGUGCUGCCCUGAGCUCAGCUGUGCUCCACAGCCCGGUGCUGCUGCAGUGCAGGGAUAACAAGAGUGCAGGAAUAAACAGAAAUAAGAGAGAAUGGGAAACUCUCACGUGAGAUCUCUCUUAUUUGUGUGUUUAUUUCUCCACUUUGGUGCCACUUUAUCAACCAGCUUGGACAUCGCUGAUGUGAGAACUGUUAAUUACUAUCAGGCCUGUUAAUUACGCACCUGUCCCUGCCACAGCUGGGGCAGUGUGGAUAAGCCAGAGGAGGAGCACAGUCCCUGCAUCCAGCUGGAUGGCAAACAGUGAAAGCUGAAGCCUGGCUGGGAUCUCCAGCCAGGGGAUGGAGGAGUUUGGCUUCAUCUGCUGCAAGGAGGAAGAUGCUGGAGU